rnacentral:rRNA from 1 species
CGAACGGGUGAGUAACGCGUGAGGAACCUGCCUCAAAGAGGGGGACAACAGUUGGAAACGACUGCUAAUACCGCAUAAGCGCACAGUACCGCAUGGUACAGUGUGAAAAACUCCGGUGGUGUGAGAUGGAUCCGCGUCUGAUUAGCCAGUUGGCGGGGUAACGGCCCACCAAAGCGACGAUCAGUAGCCGACCUGAGAGGGUGACCGGCCACAUUGGGGCUGAGACACGGCCCAA